CAGCCUUAACCCUGUCACAGAAGUUGGCAUAUCAUGCUUAAAAUCAGUAUUAGGGCAGUUUAACAAAAGAUUCAUUAACAUUGAACAUGUGCACCUUUUAGCAGUUGCGACUAUACUGGACCCUCAUUUUAAGAAAAUGUAUUUCGAAAAUCCAGUGGCCUAUAGCAAACAUGUCACAUUUAUUAACAACUCAAUCAAUAGAAUGGAUGGAGAGUUAGCUGCAAAUAAGUUAACCACCGAUUCAUCCUCCGACUCAGAACCUGACAAGACCGAAAACCAAAAGAAGAGAAGCUUGUUCAGCGAUCACAACAAAACAGUUCCAAAAAAAAAAAAAAAAAAAAAUGGAAGAAGCAAGAGGAGUCUCAGAAUCAAUCAGUUUCAGAGCCCAGAAAAUUGCAUCCAGAACUUUCUUUGUAUUUAGGUGCCCCGGCUGAAAAAAUACAGCAAAUUCCUCUACUAUUUUGGAAAGAAAUGGCAACCACUUAUCCACUCCUGUCAAAGAUGGCAAGAAUUCAUCUCAUUGUAAUGGCAACCUCCAUUCCAUCAGAGCAGUUGUUUUCAAAAGUGGGACAAACUGUGACAAAGGAACGAAACAGACUAGGAGGCAAACUUAUUUCCAAAAUUGUUUUUCUCCAAUCCAUUGAUGACUCGCUUUGGUCAUGAGCAUUGUAAUACAAUUUCAAGAUUUUUCUUUCAUUAAUUAAAAUUUUGAGUUUUUCA